UAGCUCAGUCGGUUGAGCAUGGCGCUCACAACGCCAAGGCCGCGGGUUCGAUUCCCAU
rnacentral:tRNA from 1 species